GGUGCAGGAACAAGUCAUCAGGUCUGAUUAGAAGGUUUAUGUGAGCGAGUCAGAGUCCUGCUGAAGAUGAAGACAAUACUUGUUGUUUUCUACAUUUUGCUAAACCAGGUCAUUGGCCAGACAGAAGACAUGUAUCCUGUAAAGAUUCUGGUCCGGCAGAGAACUAUAAGCGAAGGCAGUGACCUUUACUUAACCUGCAGCCUGUUCGGGCAAAAGAAAUACCCCUCUUUUUAUGUUUAUUUACUGAAAGAUGGACAAGGAUUUCA